GCCAGUUCCACGUUCCAAUUCAGCUCCAGUGACUCAAGUACAGAAAGCUGAUUCUCUAAUGCAGUACAAAGCAAGUGACUCACUGACAGCUUUAUCUGUUCACUUUGCAACAUUCCAAUGGUAGCUCCUAUUUCAACUCCACAUUGGACCCCCAGCCUUGAUUUGGCUACACAGCAAUAGCCUCAAGACAUGUUGCAACAGAGCCUUGGCUGCACAGUAAGAGUUCUUGCUUAUUCAAGACUCUUACUACCUUCGCUACCAAGAACGCCCAGAUCAAAAGAAAUAAAUAAUUUGAAUGCCGCUGCCUUUUGGAUGAGACUUUAACCAGAGACCACUUGUGAUCCGCUAAAUAAAUCCCAGGAAGAAUGGAGCAUGGCUCGGGGAAUGAGCAGAGGAGGCAAAAGUGGGAAGAGCUGGAAGAAGGGCUUUCAAGAGGCGGCCACGUUUGCCCACAAUAUUAUUCAAGCAAUGAGGUGUUCAGUACUUUCAGCAUCUGUACCACGAUAAACAGCAUUGAUUCACUGUUUUGGCCAAUCAGUGCCAGAGGCAAUCGGGAAACAGCACCAAAUAGAAUUGUCACAGACGAAGGACUGGAUGGCAGCCACUGCAGUUGGAACCUCAUCUCCCUGUGCUUUAGCACUUUCAGUUUAGAAAAGAAAAGAUAAUGUGCAGGGUGAAAGGUACAUAAAACUGUCAUUUUAAUUUAAAAUAUCAUAAUGCUUCUGUUUGAUGGUGCUUAAGAAGAAUUAUUCAAGAAAUAGCUAUGCAUAUCACAUUUGGUCUGGACUUUCUAACAAAUAAAGAAUCUGAAAUAUGAAAGACUUGCCACAUCCUUUGGUUCUGAAACAGUAGAUUUAUAAGACUAGCAGGGAAGAAGUGACAAUUGCAUAUGUGAGCCCACCGUAGCCAGGGAAACGACUGAUUACUGUUCAGAAAACAAGUGGUGUAUGCCCAGUUUCUUUUUGAAACCUCAAUACAUGAGGUUUACCUUCUUUAAAAGGCAAUAUGGUUUGUUACCUGAUUCAGAUCUUUCCACAAUGUCUAUGUUUAUAGUUCUCAAGAAUGAGACUGGCUUUCUCUAGCAAGUUGCUGCAUGUAUUGACACUGUUAAGUUACAUACUAAUGUUACUUUUGGAGGCUGUUAAAUUUCAGCUGAUGUUCUCCCUGUUUACUCUGAAAGCCGUAGUGUUGCGAUAGAACCAUUGUUUGUAGACCUUUUUCUCUGAGAUGACUCAGAGAUUUUUUGGAGGUGGAAAACUUACAAAAAAAUAUCAGGAAUAGGCCACUUGACCCCUCACACUAACUCCUCCAACCAAGAUUGUAGUUGAUUUUUUAUUUCACCCCACUUUCCUAUCCUUUAGUUUUCUUAAUAUACAAAGUUUCUUUCCAUCUUUGCCUCUAGAUUCCAUGGAAACCCUAACCUCUGAAAUGAUUGGUUCCUUAUUCUGAUACUUCCAAUAAAAUAUACCCACAUGUAGCCAACCCUGUAUCAAGCACCGCCACUGCUCUUCAAGCUUCCCUGCACCUAAAACACGAGUUAAAAUCACCUAAAGCAUUCACUAUAUUAGUUCCUUUUAGUGGGGCUUGUCUGAUCAUCUCAAAAUGCUUUUUUUUGGCAAAAAUACUGGCACAAAAUGUGAAACAGCCCCAAAGUGUGGCAAUCAUACUGAGGCAACAUGGAAUAACUAUUAAACAUGCUCUUAUACCAGCAAUGGGCACCUCACAGUCCAACGGGUGUCCUGGUUUGAGAAUGUGAAAUGUUUCACCAUUAUUAAUGCCAUAUUAAACACACUGCCAGGAUUCUGCGUGAUUGGAUAUGCACUGUAGCAUGUGACUGGCCAGACAAUGUUUGUGAAAUGUUUCCUCACAGAACAGUGGUGCUGCCUUUUUGUUAAACCCUGGCUCGGGAAGCAGCUGCAACAGUGGUUUCAAGCUGGCAGUUUACGAGCACCACAAAUGCUGGUCGUCUGUGCAAGCUACAGCACUGCCCUAAACUUGUUUGAUCCAGUUUGCACAGCUAGGCAUUUCUCUGGGUGCAUUCCUGUGGUUGGAUGAAGCAGUGUGCAGGAUUAAAACCUGUUAGACCUCCUCGUUUUACAGCUGCCGGACAAAGGUCAGACAAGUGCUGAGCAGUGAGAUGUUGCUCCACUGUGAAAGGACAAACUCCAGUGCUCGCCAAUUGUACAGACAGGGAUUAAUAUAGUCCGUGAAACUGAGAUUUUAACUUGCGUCUUAGAAACAAAAUACUUCACUUCAGUUUCCUAACUAAACUCCCCCGAAAAUGAUCAGAAAUUACAGUUUUUGUUUACAAAAUUAAGGCCUUCCACUAGUUUGCUAUAUUUAUAAGACAAAAUAUUUUCUAUCACUGUGAAGGAGCAAUGUGGGUGCCAAUGUUCAAACAAUGUCCUGAAGUCCCGAAAGGUUCACAUCAACUGCCUGAACAUUGCAAAGGGGAGCUCGGGAGUGUUUUUUUUAAAGAGUAUGUCUUCAUCACCACUGUGUCCCGUUUAUUAAAUAUUUAAAGACAAGAGAUCGGGGGUGGGGAAGAACUAAUUGACAGAGAAAGGUGGUUGAAAUGAGUGAUCAGGAGCUGAAAUCUCUAGUAUCUAACCAGCAAGAAUGAUAAAUUUACAAAAAAAAACCCUCAAAAAAACCCAACAGCCUAUGCUUACUGCUGCAAGGCCAAGCUAUUUAGGUUACUCCCAGCUUUCAGUCCAGAACCUUGCAGUUACGAUGCCUUAAGUGACUUCUUAAGAGUUUCUGCAAUCAUAUUCCUUUCAGGCAGUGAAUUCCAGAUCCACACUACCAUUGGAUAAAAAAGAAAUUUCCCAAACUCUCCACCUAUUCAAUCCAUGUCCAGAAAAUAUAGACCUGUCAUUGAAAAUAUUCACCCUGCCGAUCUCUUUUAUGCACCUCAGUUAAACUUCCCCUCGAUCACUUUUAUUUGAAAGACACAAACCUAUUUUAGACAGCCUCUAGAAUUCUCCAACCCUGGCAACAUCCUUGUGCAUCUGCUAGGUACCCUCCCUUGUACUCUCCCAUCUGUCCUGUUCGGUGACCGGAACUGAGUGCAGUACUCUAGCUGUGUCCUAUGUGGUGUUUUACACAAGCAUGGAUAACCCUGAUCCAAAGAGUCACUUGUGAAUAGAGGUGGCUACAGAGUGAAAAAAAGCAACUAAUCUAAUCCUGUCAAUUCCCCGCUAGGAAAAUAAUGUCAAAACAUUUGCAUUUGAGCUUACACUUGGGAAUGGAGAGAUGAGUGAACAUGAGUGGCAAUAUUAACAAUCAAAUCUUGCACUAAGCUUGAUUGACUUUAUUUUAACUUUAGAAUUAUAAAACAUUCUGAAACAAAAUCACCCAUUGCAACUCACAUGAAUAGCAGUCUCCUGUAACUAUAUGACUCUUGAUUCUUCAUAACUUUAUUUGUCGCAUACACAAAAAAAAUUCAGUUCAGUCGUAAAAUUCUUUGCCAGUACAUGAGAGCAUCUGGUUCUUGUUCUGUGAGAGGGCAGUCCAAGUAACUGAGAUCAAUAUUUUCAUAGACAGGCUUGCAAGGUUUAAGCCAGCUUGACUAGUGGAUGUUUUAAACUGGACAUUGCUUUAAAAGAGAGAAAAGCAGAACUGGAAUUGAAAGUCUCAAAGUCAGUGCAUGAGUUUGAAGGCAGAGCAAACAAUGGUUAGAAAACACUCCAAAAAAAGGAUUCUGACCAUGCUUAAUGGGAUAUACUUAAAUGCAAGGAACAUAAGGAAUAAGGAAUAAGGCAGAUGAGAUCAAAAGCCAGGGACACUUGGAAGAAAGCUACUGCGGCUCUUACAGAAACAUAGCUGAAGAAGUGGGGCAGGAAUUGCAGCUGAGUACCUCUGCUACUGUUUAAACAUUUUACAGACACAACUGAGGGGGAUAAGAAGGGAAGAGGGGAAUAUUGCAAUACUGGUUAAAGAAACAAUCACAGCUCUAAGCAGGGAUAGUGCAUUAGAAGGAACACGAAUUGAGGCUACAUGAUGGAUCGAAGAACAAAAAUAGAUGGUAACUUUUUCUGGGUCCUCCUGUUCAUCUACAUUAAAAUUUCGAACAAGUACACAACAAUAGGGCAGUAAUAAUGGAGGCAAAUCAAUUAAAUUCAGAUUAGCAGGUAUACAAUCCUUACUGCGGGUAUGGAGAAAAAAACAAAUUCCUCAAGUGCAUGCAAAAGAACCUUUUAAACCAGUAUGUAGCAAGCUUGAGUACAAUGUUGGUACGUGAGGGAAGGCUCAAUGUUGGAUUCAGCUUUGGGCAGGUGGAAGGGGCAUCAGUUUUUUGGAUAGUGAUCACAAUUCGGUUAGAUUUAGCACUGUAUGACAAAUAUAAAAUAGAAAUAAAUAGUUCUAAAUUGGUGAAGAUCAAUUUUACUAAGCUAAGAAUCAUUUACCAAAUGUUGACUAGAAAUAAUACUUGAAGGUAAAUCAACAUCAGAGCAGCAGGAUUCUUUCAAAAAAAGAGAAUCCAGGGAUUCUAAGUAAAGCUGUUUUCAAAAAGGAAAAGAGUGGAACUGUCCAAUCUAGAGCUUCUUGCUUGAUAUGGUGAAAACGUGCAAAGGCUUUUCUUCAGAUGCAGCAGCCAGAGCAACAGAGGGGAAGAGCUAACAGCUGCUCCUUUUUAAAAAAUGUGCGAUUGGCUAAGUAUGUGAUAACUCAGCCAAUAAAAGGAGGGUAGAAUAAAGAUUAAUGGCCGUUCUGUAAACAGUAGGUAUCUGAGGCCUCCUACUCCAAAGCAGGGAUGCAGGAUCAAGUGAUUUUUGUAGCUGCACGAUGAGGGAGCUGAUGGAACCCAUCGUGUUUCCUGCUCACCACGUCUGCAACAAGUGUUGGUCGUUCAAGGAAAUCAGGCUCAAAGUUGAUGACCUGGGAUCUGAGCUUCACAUCCUUCACCAGGGAGGGAAGAAAUACCUGAACACUGUGUUUCAGGAGAAAGUCACACCCACUAGAUUUGGUCAGUGGUCAGGGUGUGACUGCGAGUGAGGCAGGUAGGAGGCCCCAUGCGGUAAUGUUGGGAGUUUCUCAGCCCCUGGGCUUGUCCAACAAGCCUGAGAUUUUUAUUCUUGCUCCAUGUGAGGAUGGGAGUGGGAACUGUAGGAAGUAUAAACAUCUGAACCGUGGCACUAUGGUUCAGGGAGCCAUUCAGGGAAGGUGGGGAGGGGGGAGAGGAAUGUAGCUGUAACUGGAAUAGUACUGUCAGGGAAAUAGACACAAUUUUCUGUUGCAAGGACUGAGUAUCCUGAAGGCUGUAUUUUUCUGCCUAGUGUGCUGAGUUUGGGACAUCUCAACUGACCUACAAAGGAAUUUGGAGUGGGAGGGGAAAGAUCCAGUUGCGUGUUCCAUGUGGGUACCAAUGACAUAGGAAGAACAAAGAAAGAGGUUUGGCUGAGAGAAUUUGAAAAUCUAUGAACUAAAUUAAAAUACAGAACCAUAAAGGAAUUAUUCUCUGGAUUGUUACUUGCGAGGUGCAAUUUGGCACAGGGUUAAUAAGAUAAGAGUUAAAUGUGUGGCUCAAAGAUUGGUAGGAGAAGUGGGUUUGAAUUUGUGGGAGACUAGCACCAGUAUUGGGGAGGGAAGGAGCUCAAUCUGGACCAUGCCGGGACCAGGGUCCUGGAGAAUGGUACAACUAGGGCACUGGAUCAAGCUUCAAACUAAAUAGUAGAGGGCGUAAAGUGCAGGAGAGGUUACUGAAGACAUGAAGCUUAGAAAGGGAUAAGAAUUUAACUUUGGACAACAAGGAGACAAAAUUAAGAAGGGUGGUGAAUACCGGACUAAAACCAUUGUAUUUGAAUACACUCAGUAUGUGAAAUAUGGUUGUUGAGUUUAAAGCACUGUUAGAAGUUGGCAGGUAUGACGUUGUGGGUUUCACAGUCGUGGUCGAGAGAAAGUCACAGAUGAGAGCUAAAUAUCCAUGGAUACUUAUCCUGUCAAAAAGACAAGCAGGUGGGCAGAAGGAAUGGGGUGGCUCUGUUAGCAAAAAAUGAGAUAAAAUCCUUAGCAAGAAGUAACAUUGGAUCAGAAGAUGUAGAAUCCUUGUGGGUAGAAACUGCAAGUGUAAAAAGAACCUAAUGGGAGUUAUAUGCAGGCCUCUCCGAAUAAGUAACCAGGAUGUGGGUUACAAAUUACAACAGGUAAUAGAAAAGGCAUAUAAAAAGGGCAAUGUUAUGAUGGUCAUGGGGGAAUUUAAAUAAGCAGGUAGAUUGGGAAAAUCAGGUUGGUACUUGAUCCCAAGAGGAGGAAUUUGUGGAAUGCCUAUAAUAUAAAAAGGCUUUUUUUUUAAAGAGCAGCUUGUGGUUAAGCUCACUAGGGAAAAGCACAAUUCUGGAUUUGGUAUUGUGCAAUGAAUCAGACAUACUUCAGGAGCUUAAAGAAAUGGAACACUUAGGAAGCAGUGACUAUAUUAUGACAGAAUUCUCCCUGCACUUCGAGAGGGAAAAGCUGAAAUUGAUUGUGUCAGUACAGAAGAAUGAGAGAGAAGCUGGCCAAAAUUGAUCAGAAGAACACACUAGUAGGGAUGAUGGUAGAGCAGCAAUGACUGGAGUUUUGGGUAUUGAUAUGCAAGAUGCAAGAUCAGUUCAUCCCAAAGAAGAAGAAGCAUUCUAAAUGGAGGAUCAGGCAACUAUGACUUACAAGGGAAGUCAAAAACAGCAUAUAAGCAAGAGAGGGCAUACAAUAUAUGGGAAAAAAGUGAGAAGCUAAACCAUAAAGACCACAAGACAUGGGAGCAGAAUUAAGCCUUUCAGCCUAUCGUGUCUGCUCCUUAAUUCCAUCAUGGCUGAUUUAUUAACCCUCUCAACUCCAUUCUCCUGCCUUCUCCCCAUCACCUUUGCUACUCUGACUAAUCAAGAACCUACCUAUCUCUGCUUUACAUAUAUCGAACGACUUGGCCUCCACAGCUGUCUGUGGUAAAGACCACCCUCUGGCUAAAGAAGUUCCUACACAUAUCUGUUCUAAAUGGAUGUCCCUCUAUUCUAAGGCUGUGCCCUCCGGUCCUAGAUAUAGGAAAUACACUUUCCACAUACACUCUAUCUAAGCCUUUCAAUAUUCAACAGGUUUCAAUGAGAGGCCCUUGAUUCUUCCAAACCCCAGUGAGCACAAACCCAGAAUAACCAAACACUCCUCAUAUUUUAACUAUUUCAUUCCCAGAAUCAUUCCUGUGAACCUUCUCUGGACCCUCUUCAAUGCCACACAUCUUUACUUAGAUAAAGGGCCCAACACUGUUCACAAUACUCUAAAUGUGGUCUGACCAAUGCCUUAUAAAGUCUCAACAUUACAUCCUUGCUUCAUUCUGGUCCUCUUGAAAGAACACGAGCAUAGAAAUGAAUGUUCCAAUAAUCCCAAAAUCUGAGCCCUGCCCCCUGCAGCAAUUUCUCAGCCAUGCAUUCCUCUGUUAAACCAUCCUAUUCUUACCCUCACUGGCACGUGGCACAGGCAGCAAUCCAGAGAUUACUACCCUGGAAGUCCUGCUUGUCAGCUUUCUGCUGAACUCCCUAUAUUCUCUCCUCAGGACCUCAUUCCUUUGAGGUGGCAACAUACCAUCCAGGUAUCUCUUUCACAUCCACAGAAUUUCAGGUCUGCCCCUCCAACUAUGGAACCCCCUGUCACUACUGCACUCUUCUUCUUCCCCUCCCCCUGCUAGAAAAUUAGGGAGCUUUUUAAAACUAACAGAACGCAACUAUAAAAGCAAUAAUGAAGGAAAAGAUGAAAUAUCAAUAGCCAAUAAUAUAAAAGAGGAUACCAAAAGAUUUUUCAGAUAUAUAAAGAGUAAAAAAAGAGGCAAUCGGACUGCUGGAAAAUGACACUGGUAGUAAUGGGGAAUGAAGAAAUGGCCAACAAACCGAAUAGGGAUCUUGCACGAGUCUUGAAAUUCCAGAAAGACAUGAGGGAGUGAGUUCAGUCAUUGUUACUAAGGAGAAGCUGCUUCGGAAACUGAAAGGUCUGAAGGUUGACAAGUCACCUGGACCAGAUGGGACUACACCCCAGGGGCCUAAAAUAGGUUAUCUGAAGAAAUUGUGGUGUAGUCCAUCUAGUUCAGGCGAAAUUAGUAGUGAUCUUUCAAUAAUGAUUAGAUUCUGCAAUUGUUCCGGAGGACUAGAAAAUCACAAAUGUCACUCCACUCCUUAAGAAAGGAGGCAAAAGGCAAGAAAUUAUAGGCCAGGUAGACUGACUUCAUUAUUAAGGAUGAGGUUUCGGGGUUCUUGGAGGCACGUGAUAAACUAAACCAACGUUAGCAUUGUUUCCUUAAGGGGAAAUCUUGCCUGAUAAAUCUGUUAGAAUUCUUUGAGGAAUUAACAGUCAGGAAAGACAAAGGGAAGUCAGUUUAUGUUUACCUGGAUUUUCAGGUUUACAAGAUGAAAAUGAUGCUGCACAUGAGACUGUUAAAUUAGGAGCCCACAAUAUUACAGGAAGGAUACUAGCAUGGAUAGAAGGUCGGCUGACUGGCAGAAGGUAAAGAGUGGGAAUAAAGGUGGCCUUUUCUGGUUGGCUGCCAGUGACUAGUGGUGCUCGGCAGGGAUCAAUGUGAGAGCUGCUACAUUAUAUGUUAGUGAUCCGGAUAACGGAACUGAUGGGUUUGUGUCCACGUUUGCGGAUGAUACAAGAUAGGUGGCGGGGCAGGUAGUACUGAAGAAGUAGGGUGGACUUUGACAGAAAUCAGAAGCGUGAAGGGACAUGGAAUUGGAUGUGCACGAUUCUGUGAACUUUAACUUACAGGUUGAGUCAGUAAUAAGGAAGGCAAAUGUAAUGAUAGCAUUCAAUUUUGACAGAACUAGAAUUUAAAAGUAAGGAUGCAAUGCUGAAGCUUUAUAAAGCAUUAGUCAGACCACAUUUAGAGUACUGCGUGCAGUUUUGGGCUCCAUAUCUGAGGAAGGAUGCGCCGAUAUUGGAGAUGGUCCAGAGGUGGUUUACAAGAAUAAACCUAGGAGUGAAAGGGUUAAUGUACAAGGCGCAUUAAUGGCUCUGGGCCUGCACUUGCUGGAAUCUAGAAGAAUGAGAGGAAUCCCAUUGAAAUCUAUCAAAUACUGAAAGGCCUGCAUAGAGUCCACAUGGAGAACAUGUUUCCAAUAGUGGGAGAGUCUAGGACCAGAUGGCACAGCCUCAAAAUAAAAUGAUGUUCCUUUAGAACAGAGAUGAGGAGGAACCUCUUUAGCCAGAGGAUGCGGAAUCUGUGGAAUACAUUACUAGAGACUGCUAUGAAGCCAACUCAUUAUAUUUAAAGCAGAGGUUGAUAGAUUCUUGAUUAGUAAGAGCGGCAAAGGCUGUGGGGAGAAGUCAGGAGAAUGGGGCUGAGAGGUAAAAGAAAAUUAGACAUGAUGGUAUGGUCGAGCAGUCUUAAUGUAUUGAAUGGGCUAAUUCUCCUGCUGUGUUUUAUGGGGGGUAUAAAGAAGACGUAUUAAAACAGAGGGAAUUAUAAGAGACACUGAGGGCACAACAACGCAGAGCCUGGAGAAACACAGGAAGUGCAGGCUUGAAAUUAAAAGAGAAAUUAGGAAAGCAAAGAGGUGACAUGAAAAAUACAGACAAAAAGUAAUUCCUUUAAAAAUCCAAAGUUGUUUCAUAUGUAUUUAAAGUUGUUGAAGGCAGGCAUCCCCGGUGCUGCCUAAAACAGACUUUUAGGCUGGGGGCCUUUGGGAUACCUAGCCCCUUCACCGAAUUGUCUGGUUUCAGCAGAGUGGGCUCUAGGUUAAUAUAAACAUAUUAUUAAAAAUCAUGACACCAUAAGACAGUGAGUUAAGUGACUUGGAGGCAGAAGUGUAUUUGCAAAAUACAACAUCAUUGUGGAGGCUUAAACACAGUAAGUCAGCCAGUGUGUUCAAAAGCCAAACUUAAGCUUAUUGUCAAAUGUACAAUAAAGCUGAGGCUUUAUAAGGCAUUGGUCAGACUGCACUUGGAGUAUGUAAGCAGUUUUGGGCUCCUUACCCGAGACAUGCUGGCAUUGGAGAGAGUCCAAAGGGGGUUCACUAGAAUGAUUCCAGGAAUCUAAUGGGUUAAAGUAUGAAGACCGUUUGAUGGCUGUACUCGCUGGAGUUUAGAAGAAUGAGGGAAGGGGAUCUCAUUGAAACCUAUCCAAUACUGAGAGAGAGAGUGGAUGUGGAGAGGAUGCUUCCUAUAGUGGGGGAGUCUAGGUCAAGAGGGCAUGGCUUCAGAACAGAGGAAUAUCCAUUUAGAACAGAAAUAAGGAGGAAUUUCUUUAGCCAGAGGGUGGUGAAGCUGUGAAAUUCAUUGCCACAGAUGGAUGUGUAGGCCAGUUCACUGGAUGUAGUAAAUCCUGGUUAAUUGGGACACAUCAGGACCAGUACAUUUUGGCCCAAUUAACUGACUUUCCAUAGAAAUAGUUAAAGUAUAGAAAAGAAAAACUAACACAUUAUGUAUUUAAAUGAAAUACAGAACAAAUUAAAACACUACCAAUACUAUGAUUCAUUCCUAAUAAUUAUUGACAGAGGAAAUCAUCCAGUGUACACUGUUGUGUUCUUUUGAGUGACUGUGAAUGAACAAAACCAGCACAGACACCUGGUGCAGAUAAUGGACCGUCUUCAUACAAUGCUCCUGAUGAUUGCAUCCUCCAAAUCUUCAUUUUCAUUGUAACAUUCAAGGUAUUGUUAAUACCCUCAAAUUCUUCACAGUUCCUAACCUGUUGAAGUAGUGGAAUAGUUUCAUUUUCACUUCUGGCCGUUUCUGGUAUCUGCAAGCCUGAAUGCUUGAAAUCGCAGUGAGCAAAAACAGUUCUGAAUUGUCUUACUGCUUAUUUCUUGCCAACUAUCAGUGGACAAAAAUCACUGCUUUUUGAACACAACACAUGAAACUGACGCUAUUUUAAAAAUGUUUGCUCUAAGAACCGUGUAGUGUCUAACUGCUGCACAAGUGUAUGUGACUGAAGAUAGUUAGACACUGUUUGGCAACAGUCUUCCUGUCCCAAUUAAGUAGCACAGUGUCUAGAAUAAACAAAAAUAGUUCCAGCCAUUUUGUCAAUUAGUCUUUGUUCUUUACAAGUUGUUCCAAAUAAGUGGCAUCCCUGAUUAACCGAUGGACCAGAAUCCACUAUAUAUAAAGCAGAGAUAUGUAAGUUCUAGAUUAGUCAGGGCAUCAAAAUUUACAGGGUGGAAGGCAGGUGAAUGGGGUUGAGAGGGAUAAUAAAUCAGCCAUGAUAGAAUGACACAGCAUACUCGAUGGGCUGAACAGCCUAAUUCUGCUCCUACAUCCUAAGUGCACGUACGCACAAGAGCAAUGAAAGUCUCGUAGCAGCAGCACAUCAUAUUGCUGGUCAUGAACUGGUGAAAAGACCGUCACCAAUUAGAGCAUCCCUUAUUUUAAAGUAGAUCUUUACUUUGUCCUUUCCCUUCCUAAUUUCUCUUUUUGCUAGCCUUCACUGUGUUUAGUAAGACCUCUUUCACUGUGUGCAAUGACAUAAUAAAGUGGACCUGGGCACUUUGAAUCAAUUUUCAAGAUAUUCUAAUAAAUUAAAGAGUGAUUGUAACACUUCAUAUUUUAUUCAGCAAAUGAUACGGUAUUUACACAGUUGCACAACAUAACUGAACUGAUGUUACCCAAAUUACUUUUCAUGCUGAGACUCAAGCAUUUCUGGCACAGUCUCAAUUGAGCUGAAUGGGCCCCUUCAGUCCCGUCACUAAUGUGAAGAGGCUCACACACUUGCCAUCCAGGCGUAAGUGGACACCACCCAGGUCCUGUUGGUGAUGGUUGGGUUUUCCAGCCUGCUAAAGGCAAUGAAUCAGUCUAUCACUGGACAGUGCCGCUGGUAGCCGUUCAGUACCUCAGCAUAGUGGGCAGUUUUCAUUUGCAUGUCUAGACGGUGAGUGUUGGCGGGCUUGUUGAUUGUGGGAGCAAGUUAUCCCAGCCAGAUCCUGUUUUCAACUGAUGAAUGCACUCAUACAUUCCAACAAGGGUCAUUGGACUACAAGUAGGCUUGUAAAGCCAAUUUGAAUUUUGUCCCCUAAAGCCAGCAUCUGGUGUCCAACUGGUACCCCAGCUGAAAGCACAGAUCAUAUUGGUUGUAAUUACUCCCAUGACAACAAUGACUCCAAAAUCAGAACUAUCAAUAAUGGCCCUAAUAGUUAGUUAAAUGAUGCAUUAGAUUACUGAUGGACCCAGUCCUCAAAAUUAAAAUAAUAACAAUACAUGAAAUAUAUUUCUCUGACUGUGAAGUGCUUUCGUUUUGAGAGGAGCAAUAUAAACGCAAGUCUUUCUGUCGAAUGGUACUAGCAACUUCAGAGUAAAAUAAUUUACAAUUCCCGAUAUUUACAGCUUAUAAUGUAACUACAGUACAAAAGUAGAGCCAAAAUCACUAAGACCCCAGGAAUUGCAAGUGGGCAUCUCAUCACCUUACAUAUGGCAAAAUUUCUGAUCGAAGCAAAAAAUUCUGCUUAUGUCACACCAUUAACAGAGUCCAAUUACACAGGAAUCUGCUCCCAGCAAAGGUUUCUUGGCAACUUGCACAGUUAGCUUAACAGUGAGUAUGGAGUGCUGGUUGCUACGCUUUGCUUGGCUCAGUGAACAUGUCGACCUGCAAGUUUUGAGACAAUAAAAAGCCUUGUGUGACGAUAAGACCAAUCAAUGGACUUCACUGUAGAAGUCUAAAUGGCAGGCUUUCUUCUGCAUGUAGCGGCAGCUCCUAACGCAAACAGGUCCACGUUAAAAAAAAAAUCAGCUGAACUUGACAUGCCACAUUCUCAAGUUCACUCACAAGCCAUUGACUGAUGGAGCAAGUGGUCAAGUAGUGCAGUGUAUAACGCUGAUAAUCACGGCACUUUUGUCAGGACUGUUCAUCAGGAACCCGACUUUAUAAACCAUAACCUGUGUAAAACUGACCAAGGGACACAUACACUGUUGAAAUAAAGUAGUAAAACUGUCUUUUUCCAAGGAAUGAACAAAGGCAGGUGUGGCAAGUGGUUAGGAUGGCAGAUGGCAUGUUGGCCCUUAAAUUACAAGGGAGAUGGGUCUUAGCAAUUGGGUAUUGUUGUAAAAAUUGUAGAGGGUUUGAUGUUGCAGUGUUCGCAGAGCAUGGCUCCAAAAACUGCGUACUGAGGAUGUCACCUCAACUGGUGAUGAAAUGCCUGCAAGCUAUCAGCGAACAUCGCAAUACCCAACGCCUCAGCCCGAGCUACAAUAUUCACCACCAUCCUAAAUUGUAGAGGGAGUGUGUGAGGCCACAACACACUUGACCUGUGCAUGGUUUGAUCUCCUCAUCUGUGAAAGACUAAUUCCUGAGCUGAGGGUGUUAUCUUAUCAUGAGUAAUUUUUUUUUUAAAAACUAGACAUGUUUCUUUGAUGUUUAGAAGAAUGAAGGGUGACCUUAAAGGGAUAUGAAGGGGAGAUUUUGUUACAAUGUAGAGGUCAGACACUUAAAACAGAGGUGUAUAACAAUUUCCUUUCAUGGAAGUUGGAGAGCAAUAGGAACAGACAAGUUAGAAAAGCGUUUAAUUGGAGUAAGGGGAUUUAUGAGGCUAUCAGUCAGGAACUUGGAAGCUUAAAUUGGGAACAGAUGUUCUCAGGGAAAGGUACGGAAGAAAUAUGGCAAAUGUUCAGGGGAUAUUUGUGUGGAGUUCUGCAUAGGUAUGCUCCAAUGAGACAGGAAAGUUAUGGUAGGGUACAGGAACCGUGUACAAAGGCUGUAGUAAAUCCAGUCAAGAAGAAAAGAAAAGCUUACAAAUGAUUCAGAGAGCUAGGUAAUGUCAGAGAUCUAGAAGAUUAUAAGGCUAACAGGAAGGAGCUCAAAAAGGAAAUUAGGAGAGCCAGAAGGGGCCAUGAGAAGGCCUUGGCAGGCAGGAUUCAGGAAAACCCCAAGGCAUUCUACAAAUAUGUGAAGAGCAAGAGGAUAAGACGUGAAAGAAUAGGACCUAUCAAGUGUGAUAGUGGGAAAGUGUGUAUGGAACCGGAGGAAAUAGCAGGGGUACUUAAUGAAUACUUUACUUCAGUAUUCACUAUGGAAAAGGAUCUUGGUGAUUGUAGUGAUGACUUGCAGCAGACUGAAAAGCUUGAGCAAGUAGAUAUUAAGAAAGAGGAUGUGCUGGAGCCUUUGGAAAGCAUCAAGUUGGAUAAGUCGCCGGGACCGGAUGAGAUGUACCCCAGGCUACUGUGGGAGGCGAGGGAGAAGAUUGUUGAGCCUCUGGCGAUGAUCUUUGCAUCAUCAAUGGGGAUGGGAGAGGUUCCAGAGGAUUGGAGGGUUGCAGAUGUUGUUCCUUUAUUCAAGAAAGGGAGCAGAGAUAGCCCAGAAAAUUAUAGACCAGUGAGUCUUACCUCCUUGGUUGGUAAGUUGAUGGAGAAGAUCUUGAGAGGCAGGAUUUAUGAACAUUUGGAGAGGUAUAAUAUGAUUAAGAAUAGUCAGCAUGGCUUUGUCAAAGGCAGGUCGUGCCUUACGAGCCUGAUUGAAUUUUUUAAGGAUGUGACUAAACACAUUGAUGAAGGAAGAGCAGUAAUGUAGUGGAGAUGGAUUUCAGCAAGGCAUUUGAUAAGGUACCCCAUGCAAGACUUAUUGAAAAAGUAAGGAGGCAUGGGAUCCAAGGGGCAUUGCUUUGUGGAUCCAGUGCUGGUUUGCCCACAGGAGGCAAAGAGCAGUUGUAGAUGGGUCAUAUUCUGCAUGGAGGUUGGUGACCAGUGGAGUGCCUCAGGGAUCUGUUCUGGGACCCCUACUCUUAUAAAUGACCUGGAUGAGGAAGUGGAGGGAUGGGUUAGUAAGUUUGCUGAUGACACAAAGGUUGGAGGUGUCGUGGGUAGUGUGGAGGGCUGUCAGAGGUUACAGCGGGACAUUGAUAGGAUGCAAAACUCGGCUGAGAAGUGGCAGAUGGAGUUCAACCCAGAUGAGUGUGAAGUGGUUCAUUUUGGUAGGUCAAAUAUGAUGGCAGAAUAUAGUAUUAAUGGUAAGACUCCUGGCAGUGUGGAGGAUCAGAGGGAUCUUGGGGUCCGAGUCCACAGGACGCUCGAAGCAGCUGUGCAGGUUGACGCUGUGGUUAAGAAGGCAUACAAUGUGUUGGCCUUCAUUAAUCGUGGAAUUGAAUUUAGGAGCCCAGAGAUAAUGUUGCAGCUAUAUAGAACCCUGGUCAGACCCCACUUGGAGUACUGUGCUCAGUUCUGAUUGCCUCACUACAGGAAGGAUGUGGAAAUCAUAGAAAGGGUGCAGAGGAGAUCUACAAGAAUGUUGCCUGGAUUGGGGAGCAUGCCUUAUGAAAACAGGUUCAGUGAACUCGGCCUUUUCUCCUUGGAACGACGGAGGAUGAGAGGUGACCUGAUCGAGGUGUAUAAGAUGAUGAGAGGCAUUGAUUGUGUGAAUAGUCAGAGGCUUUUUCCCAGGGCUGAAAUGGUUGCCACAAGAGGACACAGGUUUAAGCUGAUGUCAGGGGUAAGUUUUUUACUCAGAGAGUAGUGUGUGUGUGGAAUGGGCUGCCAGCAAUGGUGGUGGAGGCGGAUACAAUAGGGUCUUUUAAGAGACUUUUGGAUAGGUACAUGGAGCUUAGAAAAAUAGAGGGCUAUGGGGAAUUCUAGUAAUUUCUAAGGUAGGGACAUGUUCCGCACAACCUUGUGGGCCAAAGGGCCUGUAUUGUGCUGUAGGUUUUCUAUGUUUCUAAGUUGAAGAAUCUCUGCAAUUCUCUACCCUACAUGGUUGUGGAGAUUAGAUCUUUGGAGGCAUACAAAGUAGAGGUAGAUAAAUGUUUGUAAGAAAAAUCACAGCCUGCAGCACUAUGGAGAAGAGGCCUUGGUACAUCAACCAUGAUCAUCUUGAAUGCAGGGCAGUUUUGAGGGCCCCGUUUCUAUUCUCUUGGGGGUUCACCUUCAGCUCAAACAUUCAACUUUCAGAUCCCUGUCUGUGUGACCAAUACAUAUAAUAUAGAGUAGCAGGUAAGCAAAUUAAUGGAUACAAAAUAACUUCUGUCUGCAUAAUUAUUCGACUACUUCAGAUUUAACUUGAAUUAACCCGAUAAUGGUCCUCAUGCUCACUCUCUCAGUCUGAGAAAUGGUUUAUUUAUGAAUUCCUAAAGGCUUGCCACAUACAAGUGUUAAAGGACUAAGCACAAAGUCCAAAUACAGAGUGAUCUGCAAAAUAAGCUCCACCUUCAUCACUCCUUGCUCAACCAGUUGAGAGAGGGGUUAAUAUUUAAAAUGGCUGCCACUCACCUUAGCUAACUGCCACACUCGGAUGUAACUAAUGGCCUUCAGUGUAAGCUACAAAACUUAGCUUGAAUUUUUCCCUGGGUCCCCUUAAAAUUUGCAACCAAUUGGCAUGUCAUUGACUGGACAGAUUACACUACCUUUUCAACACAGGUUUCCCCCGCCAUCUGAAGGUAGAGCGUUCCUAUGAAAUGGUUCGUAAACCGGAAUGUCGUAAAGCGAAGAAGCAAUUACCAUUUAUUUAUAUGGGAAAAAUUUGUGAGCGUUCGCAGACCCAAAAAUAACCUACCAAAUCAUGCCAAAUAACACAUAAAACCUAAAAUAACAGUAACAUAUAGUAAAAGCAGGAAUGAUAUGAUAAAUACACAGCCUAUAUAAAUUAGAAAUACUUCUCUACAACGAUUGCCUGCACUGUUCUCCGUGCAAAAAUCUCACGCAAGCGCUCUUGGCAAAACACGGCACAAGCGCCGUUGGCAGAAAAUCUCACGCAAGCGCUCUUGGCAAAACACUCUCUCCAGUAACCUUUAAGCUAUGAAGCUGCCAAAUCAUACCAAAUAACACAUAAAAAUACACAGCCUAUAUAAAGUAGAAAUAAUGUAUGUACAGUGUAGUAUCACUUACCGGAAUUAGGAAGACAGCGCCGAGCACACUGAUGAUGGUGUGUUAGGCUGAGUCGUUGGAGGUUGGGAUGGUGCAGUGGCCCCCACCGUCCAGGCAGCGAACCGAUACCAAUCUGCGAAGCAUGCAGCGGUACAGACGUAGCAGGGGCACA